rnacentral:rRNA from 1 species
UACGUAGGGUGCAAGCGUUGUCCGGAAUUAUUGGGCGUAAAGAGCUCGUAGGCGGUUUGUUGCGUCGGCUGUGAAAUCCCGAGGCUCAACCUCGGGUCUGCAGUCGAUACGAGCAAACUAGAGUGUUGCAGGGGAGACUGGAAUUCCUGGUGUAGCGGUGAAAUGCGCAGAUAUCAGGAGGAACACCGGUGGCGAAGGCGGGUCUCUGGGCAACACUGACGGCUGAGGAGCGAAAGCCCAGGGGAGCAAACGGG